AUGCCCGCGGUGCCGUCACUGCGGUUCUGAGCGCGCCGUCCACACCCACCAGAUGGCUGCUCGCUACGUUGGGUGGGCC
rnacentral:sRNA from 1 species